GAUGAACGCUGGCGGCGUGCCUAAUACAUGCAAGUCGAGCGAACGGACGAGAAUCUUGCUUCUCUUCUGUUAGCGGCGGACGGGUGAGUAACACGUGGAUAACCUACCUAUAAGACUGGGAUAACUUCGGGAAACCGGAUCUCAUACCGGAUAAUAUUUUGAACCGCAUGGUUCAAAAGUGAAAGACGGUCUUGCUGUCACUUAUAGAUGUAUCCGCGCUGCAUUAGCUAGUUGGUAAGGUAACGGCUUACCAAGGCAACGAUGCAUAGCCGACCUGAGAGGGUGAUCGGCCACACUGGAACUGAGACACGGUCCAGACUCCUACGGGAGGCAGCAGUAGGGAAUCUUCCGCAAUGGGCGAAAGCCUGACGGAGCAACGCCGCGUGAGUGAUGAAGGUCUUCGGAUCGUAAAACUCUGUUAUUAGGGAAGAACAGAUGUGUAAGUAAAUGUGCACAUCUUGACGGUACCUAAUCAGAAAGCCACGGCUAACUACGUG
rnacentral:rRNA from 1 species